rnacentral:rRNA from 1 species
GAUGAACGCUGGCGGCGUGCCUAAUACAUGCAAGUCGAGCGAAGCGGGGACGGGUGAGUAACACGUGGAUAACCUCCUAUAAGACUGGGAUAACUUCGGGAAACCGGAGCUAAACCGAAUAAUUAUAGAUUGAUGCGCGCUGCAUUAGCUAGUUGGUAAGGUAACGGCUUACAAAGUCAACGAUGCAUAGCCGGCCUGAGAGGGUGAUCGGCCACACUGGAACAUAGACACGGUCCAGACUCCUACGGGAGGCAGCAGUAGGGAAUCGUGGGCAAUGGGCGAAAGCCCGACGGAGCAACGCCGCGUGAGUGAUUAAGGGCUUCGGAUCGUAAAGCUCUGUUAUUAGUGAGGCGGUACCUAAACAGAAAGCCCCGGCUAACUACGUGCCAGCAGCCGCGGUAAUAC